ACUUGUAAGCAGAUGGAAACACCUGGCCAACCAGGGCUCAGUAGCUAAGCAGGAUCGAUUCUGGUUAGUACUUGGAUGGGAUACAGAUAGUCCUCGACUUACAACAA
rnacentral:rRNA from 1 species